AUUAAUAAGCGGAGGAAAAGAAACUAACAAGGAUUCCCUCAGUAACGGCGAGUGAAGCGGGAAAAGCCCAGCACCGAAUCCUCCGCCUUUUGGGCGGCAGGGCAUGUGGUGUUUAGGACAGCCUAUGGGGAUCGGUCGGAAGUCCGAGUCCUUCUGAUCGGGGCUUCACCCAGAGCGGGUGGCAGGCCUCUACGGCACCUGGCCGGUUCUCUAAGGUCGUCCUAGGAGUCGGGUUGUUUGAGAUUGCAGCCCAAAGCGGGUGGUAAACUCCAUCUAAGGCUAAAUACAGACACGAGUCCGAUAGCGCACAAGUACCGUGAGGGAAAGUU
rnacentral:rRNA from 1 species